UGACUUCUCAUGUGGCCUAGUGGUUAGAACGUCCGCCUCAGAUAGCGGGAGGUCGUGGGUUCAAUCCCCAGCCGAGUCAU